rnacentral:lncRNA from 1 species
GCAUUUACUUUUUCUUUAACAAACAUAUACACACCACACCGCCACAACACACACUAAAAACACCAUAAUCAGAUCCUCUCCCUCUACCCACACGCCUCUCUCUCUUUCUCUUCAAGAAGACAAACCCAACAACAACCACACCAACACCGACCAGCCAUCUCCACCGGAUCCGUCAGCUGCACCACCCCUCACCGCCGCCACUACUAGCCGGAGGUACAGGCCAGAUCUGGCCGAAAAACCAACCCACGAACCAGACCUGGCCAAAAAAUCACCACACACGACUCCUUCUCUCUUCUCCGUCGCCGAACAACCCACUACCUUCGGAGAGACACCACUCCCUUAAACCCAAACUCCGUCACCAACCACUCUGCCCUUCUCUCUCCUCCUAUUUUUGUUGUUGUAACAUAAUUUUCUUUCAAUCUUUACUCUUAUUUUGCAUUUGUACAGAUCUGGUGGGAGUUUGAAAUUCCAUGACUUGCAUCACUUUAUUUUGUCAUGUAUUUAUUCCAAUUAAUUGUAUUUUUCUAUCUUGUUUGUUGACAUAUUGAUUUGUUAAUUAUUUUAUUUUAUUUUUUGGUGUUUAAUACGUGAUUUUGGUACUAAACAUUUGGUAUAACUUGUAUGUUUUGUUCAGUUGAUUUUUUUUCUUCUUCAAAUUAAUUUUUCGCACUAUUUUCAAUUUUUGAAGAAUUUUGGAUUGUUUGGUCAUAUUAUGUUGCUGAUUUUGUAUUAAUGUUGGAAUUACUUCUUUAAUCAUUUUUGUACGUUAUCAGUUUUGUUGAUAUUUCACUAUAAACAUCAAACACUUGACCGAUGAAAUUAUCUUUCCGUCGGAUACUUAGGUUACCCCAAUACAAAAGAUAGAUCUUUACUUUUCAAGUUAUUUAUUUUAUAUCAAAAAUAGACACAUGGCCAAUGAUAUUAUUUUUUCGUCGAAUUUUUGAGGCCAUCACAUUACAAAGACGGAUUUUACUUUCCUAAAAUAUUAAUUUAUAUCAAGGGCUGACGCAUGACCGAUGAAGAAAUUAUUCGUUGAUUUUCGAGGCCUUCACAAAUAAAAGGAUGGAUUUUACGUAUACAAAUACGUAACAAAAAUAAAUAUUUUCGGGCGAUGACGAAACUUUUAUAACAUCACGAUAAUACAAAAGGUUGUAUGAUUCGUAUCUUGGUAAGGCGUUUUAGGACGGCCGAUUAAUCAAGCAACUAAUUCGUAGUCAUGACGAGUCUUAAACUUAAUCUUAGCGCACCUUUAAAUAAAAAUCAUAAUUUUUAAAAUUACAUAUUUACAUACUUUUUUUAAAAUUUUAUUUUGAUAAUUAUCUAUUUGUUACUAACAUUUUUACAAGUGUUUAUACAGGUUAUUUUGGAAUACUCGGUGGGAGUUGCGUUCAAAGAGGCCUUUAAAUUUUGUAUUGUAUUUUUAUAUUUUUUAUAUUUGUAAAAUAUUAUUAUAGUGAAAAACUUUACUAUUUGGGUGCCGGAUGGGGAUAUUCUUCAUUUACAUAAUUUCAUCGCUUUAAGCAAAACUUAGGCCGUUAAUAUUUAUAUAAAAUAAUUAAUUUAAUCAACUAAUUCACAUAU